UGCCAGCCGCCGCGGUAAUACGGAGGAUUCGAGCGUUAUCCGGAUUCAUUGGGUUUAAAGGGUCUGUAGGCGGAUGUAUAAGUCAGUGGUGAAAUACUGGGGCUCAACCCCAGAAUUGCCAUAGAAACUGUACAUCUUGAGUAUAACAGAAGUUGGCGGAAUGUGUAGUGUAGCGGUGAAAUGCAUAGAGAUUACACAGAACCCCAAUUGCGAAAGCAGCUGACCAUGUCUAUACUGACGCUGAGAGACGAAAGCGUGGGGAGCGAACAGGAUUAGAUA
rnacentral:rRNA from 1 species